rnacentral:rRNA from 1 species
GAUGAACGCUGGCGGCGUGCCUAAUACAUGCAAGUCGAGCGAACGGACGAGAAGCUUGCUUCUCUGAUGUUAGCGGCGGACGGGUGAGUAACACGUGGAUAACCUACCUAUAAGACUGGGAUAACUUCGGGAAACCGGAGCUAAUACCGGAUAAUAUUUUGAACCGCAUGGUUCAAAAGUGAAAGACGGUCUUGCUGUCACUUAUAGAUGGAUCCGCGCUGCAUUAGCUAGUUGGUAAGGUAACGGCUUACCAAGGCAACGAUGCAUAGCCGACCUGAGAGGGUGGUAGGCCACACUGGAACUGAGACACCGACCAGAGUCCUGAGGGAGGGCGCAGUAUGGAAUCUUCCGCAAUGGGCGAAAGCCUGACGGAGCAACGCCGCGUGAGUGAUGAAGGUCUUCGGAUCGUAAAACUCUGUUAUUAGGGAAGAACAUAUGUGUCAGUAACUGUGCACAUCUUGACGGUACCUAAUCAGAAAGCCACGGCUAACUACGUG